ACUCAGUCAUAAUUAUCAAAGAUUUGUGGUAUUAAAAGUAUUGUUUUUCUCAGUUUCACAUUUUUCUCAGCUUAGCAUGUAUGGAUUAAAUAAUUAUGAAGAAAAAUGUUGGAGAAAAUAAUGUAGAUUACUUUUAAAUUUUUGUUUUCUGACAUGGAACAUAAACAGGUUGAAUGAGUCUUUAAGGAUUUCUCCAGAUCUCAAUUUAUCAGAUUCUGAGUCAAUAUGAAUUUCAUGAGUAAAUGUCUAUUAUAGAUGGAGAAUAAAUAAAAACCUUCCCUUUAAGCACCAGAGAACAAAUCAGGAACAAAGAAUCCCAAGGAUAGCUCCUUUUACUGUAAGAGGAAAAUUUCUCAGUUUUUACUGAAAAUCACCCUUAGUGGUUUUUAGUAUUGUUUGCAGUGGGGAUUUUCCACUGUAGCUAAAACACCUAAAACAAGAAGAGCUUGCGUGGUUGCUUUCUGGUCAGUUUGCAGAGAUGAGUGGAAAUUUUCAUAAAACAUAGCUCUGUAGAAGAGAGAAACACAGCAGUUGAGAUGAGUGGGAGAAACCAGAGUUGAGAGAGAUUAAGAGAUUCUUAGAAUCUGAAGGUAAAUUGAAAGCUUUGUGUGUAGAAAUAGUUUCAGAAAGAUGUAUGUACAUCGUCUCUGAGAUCUUAAACUCAUUUACAAGCUUAGAGUGUUCAAUUUCCUAUUUCAGGCCUCAUGUUUUCUAUAAAUCUGCAACCCAAACAUUUAAUCAUUUAUUUAGAAUUUCUACGUGGAAGUCUCAUAGUCAUUUCAAGCUGAAUAUGGCCCAAUCUAGUCUUUAGUUUCCUUCAUAGCCUGGCUCUCCUCAGGCUUUUCCAUCUCUGUAAACAUUACUACCAUCAACCCAGUUUCUAAAGCCAGAUGCCUGAGAGUCAUUCUCCAUUUCUCCUUUUCCAUCAUCUUCCACAUCCAAUUCAUCAGCAACUCCUGUCAACUCUCUCUCCAAAACAUGCCUCAUACCCUUCUGUUUUUCUCUAUCUUGAGAACUCCUACUCUAUCUAUACCAACAUCAUGUUGUGCCCAGACUUCUGCAAGAGCCUCCAGAUUGGUUUCAUCAUUUCCAGUCUUGCCCCUUUUCUGCAUCAUAACCAGAGGGAGCUUUGAAAAACUGAAAAUCAGUCACUUUGCUUAAAUCCAUUGUUCUAGGAAUACUAUGGCUUCGAUAAAUAUCCCCCAAAGGCUCAUGUUUUAAAGACUUGGUCUCCAGCUCAUGGAACUGCUGGAAAGUAGUGGAAGAGGAUAGAAGAGGUAUUCAUGUUACUGGGCUGUGUCUUUGAGGGGGUAUUAGAACCCUUUCCUCUACUUUGUGUCUCAGCUGUCAUGAGUUGAGCGGCUUGUCUCACCACGUGCUCGCUACUAGAAUGUGCUGUCUCAUCAAAAGUGCAAAAAUAAAGGACCAAUUUGCUAUGAACUGGAACCUUCCAAAGUCUUGCUCCACUUGAGUAUGUGGUCUCAGCAGACAGAGACUUUGCAUUCUUUGUGGGAAAUGUACUUUCUACGAUAUGCCUGGCUCAUAAUAAAUUUUUGGUAAGUCUUUGUUGAAUGUAUGAAUAGAUGUGUGUGGGCAUGAACCUCAACUGAUAGGCAAUCCAAACAUUUUUGACUGUGACAAGAUCAUAAUAUGUAGAAUAAUGUCUUUAGAAGUAGUUACUUGAAGAUCAUUCUCAGUUGGAUAUAUUAGCUCUAAACCUUUAGAGAGUUUACUUGAGAAAAAAACACAUUUGUCUAUUAUUAGAGCUCUGUCUGUAAGGUAUCAGUGGAAUGUACAUGUAUAUAUGAUGCAAAAAGCCUUGCUCCUAUGGAUUUUACUAUAAUAGAGUCAUGUGUCACUUAAAGAUGUGCACCAAGAAGGCAGAUCCAUUCUUGGGACAGGAGUGCAAGGCAAUUUCAUCAUUGUGGAAACAUCAUAGAUGGCUAUGAGGUCACUUGGCGAUACGUGCAAUACAUUUGUUGACUGAAGCAUUGUGAUGUGGUGCAUGACUACUUAGCUGUUCAGUUGGUAUCUUUAAAUCUCCAGUGUGUGUUCUGAGAGUCUUGAACUAAUGAGAUCCUGGUAAACAGCCUGAAAUGGACUUUGCAGAUUCUACAUAAAGCAUCAACUGAUUUUCUCAGCACACAUUAUCAAAUUCCCUUCCCAUUUAAAGUUUGCUUUUUAUCAGAUGUAACCCUUUCCUGAGCCUGUGUUGUGAAUAUUUACAAAUGAUGCAGUCUGUGAGUAUGUGAGGAAUUUCCUAAUUCUAUCUUACAUAAUAUCAGACUUAGAAAAGUGGUGUGUGUAAAGGAUUUUCCCUGGACCCACAAGAUGUAGAUAAUUAUUGCAUGAAAGUUAUUGUUCCUAUGAUUUUAUGUUAAGUACUUCCUCUAAUAUACAGUCAAAAAGCUUCAUGUUUUGCUCUUAUUCAUCCUUUUCUCAGUCUUCACAGCAACCUGUGUCUGACUCAGAACCUAAUUGCUAAAAUCUUAGUCCCAUUAAUAUUUUGUGUCUGAUAAAUUACAUUAGAGUCAACUGAAUUUAAAAGUCAUUCUAAAAGACCUCUGAAAGAAAUAGCUCCUGGCAAUUAAAAGAUAAUUUAUAAUCAUCAUAUAUUGACUAAGGUUGGUCAUAAUAUUUAUAAAUAACCAUAGAAACACAUGACUAACAGGUUCUACACUGUUGCUUCCAAGCCUCCUUCCCGCACCAAGGGAGUCAUAUAACACAGUCUGAAAUGCCAGCUGAUGGCAAGCAUUACUUACAGUAUCAAGAUAGGAAAACUAGACCUGCUGUACUGAUUCCUUCAUGGGUCAUUUUGCAAGCUACCCAGGCUCAACCUCACAGCCUCCUGAUGACUGGUGGUUGAUGAAACCAUAGUCCAACUAUGAUUGCUUAGUUGAGCAAAGGGAUUUCAAAAACAGCGUAAAUAUUUUAAAAUAGAGUUACUUUCUAUUCCAUCCUGUAAAGAUAAUAGAGGCAAUCUUCACACAUGGUAUGGAGGCUGCCCAUCCAGGUUCAAAAUGAAUGUAGUAUGAUCUCAGAUGAUGAGUUAAAGGCAGAUUGUGAGUGGUACUGGGCAGCUGCGAAGCCAAGUGUCAGAGGACGGGUGCUCUUUGGGAAAGCUGUUUCAGCCUAAGUAAGCCUGUCCUAUGAAGUCAUACUGGGAAAUGCAUGUCCCCACAUCUUUUAUCAAAGAAUGACUUCAAAAGGCCAGAAACAAGUGCUGUCAGGCAUUGGAAUGCAAUGAAAGCAAGCAAGUUGGCUUUCCAUGAUCAGAAAUGUUAAAACUCAUGUCAGUUUUGAUGCCAGACAAGAUGACAUCUAUCCAUUUAUUCCUGACAUUUAUGUCAAAUUCCCAUAUAUUUUGGCUUCUAAGUUAUGUAUUGAGGAUAUGGCAGUGAACACAAAAUAUGGUCCUGGCUUAAAUAUGGAGGAGGUAUCUAUAUGUUAAAUAAUUAGCCCUCAUGACAAACAACGCUAUAAGCUUUAGUUAGUAAAGUGUUAAGAAUUAAAAUGUUCAAAUUAGAAAUAUAUUGUGUGAAUAUAUUCAUAUAUUCUUAAAGGGGAAAAGUUCUGAAUUUUAGGGUCUCUGAGUCUUUUUAGUCUUCUAAUAUAAUAUUGAGAAGGCACUGAAUAAGUAUUAAACAAAAUUAACAAAGUGAAUCUUUUCCCUUGUGUUUUGGAUGAGUUCUCUGUUUUUAAAAUUAAAGAUUGUAACUUGGAGGCUAAUUUGCUACUACUCUGUUUCAG
ensembl:lncRNA